rnacentral:rRNA from 1 species
CCUACGGGAGGCAGCAGUGAGGAAUAUUGGUCAAUGGGCGAGAGCCUGAACCAGCCAAGUCGCGUGAGGGAGUACUGCCCUAUGGGUUGUAAACCUCUUUUGUCGGGGAGCAAAAGCCGGACGUGUCCGGCUGUGAGAGUACCCGAAGAAAAAGCAUCGGCUAACUCCGUGCCAGCAGCCGCGGUAAUACGGAGGAUGCGAGCGUUAUCCGGAUUUAUUGGGUUUAAAGGGUGCGCAGGCGGAUUUUUAAGUCAGCGGUAAAAUCGUGGGGCUCAACCCCAUCCAGCCGUUGAAACUGGGGAUCUAGAGUGUGCGAGAGGUAUGCGGAAUGCGUGGUGUAGCGGUGAAAUGCAUAGAUAUCACGCAGAACCCCGAUUGCGAAGGCAGCAUACCGGUGCACAACUGACGCUCAGGCACGAAAGCGUGGGUAUCGAACAGGAGUAGAUACCCUAGUAGUC